rnacentral:rRNA from 1 species
CAGUCGCCGCGGUAAUACGAAGGGUGCAAGCGUUAAUCGGAAUUACUGGGCGUAAAGCGUGCGUAGGCGGUGAGUUAAGUCUGCUGUGAAAUCCCCGGGCUCAACCUGGGAAUGGCAGUGGAUACUGGCUCGCUAGAGUGUGUCAGAGGAUGGUGGAAUUCCCGGUGUAGCGGUGAAAUGCGUAGAGAUCGGGAGGAACAUCAGUGGCGAAGGCGGCCAUCUGGGACAACACUGACGCUGAGGCACGAAAGCGUGGGGAGCAAACAGGAUUAGAGACCCCUGUAGUCCCUGUUUCUUAUAC